rnacentral:rRNA from 1 species
CAGUCGCCACGGUAAUACAGAGGGUGCAAGCGUUAAUCGGAAUUACUGGGCGUAAAGCGCGCGUAGGUGGUUUGUUAAGUUGGAUGUGAAAUCCCCGGGCUCAACCUGGGAACUGCAUCCAAAACUGGCAAGCUAGAGUAUGGUAGAGGGUGGUGGAAUUUCCUGUGUAGCGGUGAAAUGCGUAGAUAUAGGAAGGAACACCAGUGGCGAAGGCGACCACCUGGACUGAUACUGACACUGAGGUGCGAAAGCGUGGGGAGCAAACAGGAUUAGAUACCCGCGUAGUCCCUGUCUCUUAACA